rnacentral:rRNA from 1 species
AUUGAACGCUGGCGGCAGGCCUAACACAUGCAAGUCGAACGGUAACAGGAAACAGCUUGCUGUUUCGCUGACGAGUGGCGGCCGGGUGAGUAAUGUCUGGGAAACUGCCUGAUGGAGGGGGAUAACUACUGGAAACGGUAGCUAAUACCGCAUAACGUCGCAAGACCAAAGAGGGGGACCUUCGGGCCUCUUGCCCUCGGAUGUGCCCAGAUGGGAUUAGCUAGUAGGUGGGGUAACGGCUCACCUAGGCGACGAUCCCUAGCUGGUCUGAGAGGAUGACCAGCCACACUGGAACUGAGACACGGUCCAGACUCCUACGGGAGGCAGCAGUGGGGAAUAUUGCACAAUGGGCGCAAGCCUGAUGCAGCCAUGCCGCGUGUAUGAAGAAGGCCUUCGGGUUGUAAAGUACUUUCAGCGGGGAGGAAGGGAGUAAAGUUAAUACCUUUACUCAUUGACGUUACCCGCAGAAGAAGCACCGGCUAACUCCGUG